GACGAACGCUGGCGGCGUGCCUAACACAUGCAAGUCGAACGAAGUAUAGUAAUAUACUUAGUGGCGGACGGGUGAGUAACGCGUGAACAAUCUGCCCUGUACAAAGGAAUAGCCUCGGGAAACCGGGAUUAAAACCAUAUGACACUUUAGUACCGCAUGGUAUAGAAGUCAAAUUGAUUUAGAGGUAUGGGAUGAGUUCGCGUCUGAUUAGCUAGUUGGUAAGGUAACGGCUUACCAAGGCGACGAUCAGUAGCCGGCCUGAGAGGGUGAACGGCCACACUGGAACUGAGACACGGUCCAGACUCCUACGGGAGGCAGCAGUGGGGAAUAUUGCACAAUGGAGGAAACUCUGAUGCAGCGACGCCGCGUGAGUGAAGAAGGUCUUCGGAUCGUAAAACUCUGUCCUUGGUGAAGAAAAAGACGGUAGCCAAGGAGGAAAGCCCCGGGCUAACUACGUGCCCAAGCAGCCGCGGUAAACUAGUCUACG
rnacentral:rRNA from 1 species